rnacentral:misc_RNA from 1 species
AAAAUGGAUCUCCGAGGCUAAACGCGAUUUCAAUGUUGAUUGUUCCUGAGCUGUGGAUGCUUUACCUGCUGCAUUAGCUUCUGAUGCAGGGGGAGCUGGAUUAAAGCUUUCUUCUUCCGCAUUAUUUCCCACAUCUUGAUUCUUGUCAAAGGAUAUAUCAUGAUUAAUCGCCAAAAUGUGUCCUACUUCUGAUACUUCAUUAUGUAUGAGAAUGUUAUCAACAAUUCUUUCGCUUGAAUCUCCAACUUGCGCCUGGUGCUGCGUGACAUCCACAGAGGACAAAAGUCCUA